rnacentral:rRNA from 1 species
GACGAACGCUGGCGGCGUGCUUAACACAUGCAAGUCGAACGGAAAGGCCCUGCUUUUGUGGGGUGCUCGAGUGGCGAACGGGUGAGUAACACGUGAGUAACCUGCCCUUGACUUUGGGAUAACUUCAGGAAACUGGGGCUAAUACCGGAUAGGAGCUCCUGCUGCAUGGUGGGGGUUGGAAAGUUUCGGCGGUUGGGGAUGGACUCGCGGCUGAUCAGCUUGUUGGUGGGGUAGUGGCUUACCAAGGCUUUGACGGGUAGCCGGCCUGAGAGGGUGACCGGCCACAUUGGGACUGAGAUACGGCCCGGACUCCUACGGGAGGCAGCAGUGGGGAAUAUUGCACAAUGGGCGGAAGCCUGAUGCAGCAACGCCGCGUGCGGGAUGACGGCCUUCGGGUUGUAAACCGCUUUCGCCUGUGACGAAGCGUGAGUGACGGUAAUGGGUAAAGAAGCACCGGCUAACUACGUG